UUUAAUCUCUGCAUUAUAAUGCUUAAAUCCUUCAUUACGCUGAGUCUUAGACAUUGUAUAUUCCUUACUUUACUACUAAAUGGUAUCUUAAAUGGAAAUGAGUUAACACAGCUAGAAUUAACAAGGAGUGCCUAUGAAGAGGAAAAUGUUAUUCUGUCCUGCAAUUUUACAACUACCACCAUAGCACAACCAAACUUAUACUGGUAUCAGCAAAAGAAAAAUGGACCCUUAGAAUAUCUGCAUCUUCAGAUGCAUAAAUUUAAAAUUGAUGCAGGAAAAGGUCACUUCACAUCACACUUUGAUAUUUCUAACAACUUUAUCUUCCUGAAUAUUUCCAGAGCCCAGCUGUCUGACUCGGCAGUUUACUACUGUGUGUUGGGUGACACACUGACUGACAUCUCCACUAACACAGUACAGGAACCUAAACCAGGUGUUGUCAGAAGCCAAAGUUACAUCUUACAGUGUAUGUGA